rnacentral:rRNA from 1 species
CACGUAGGGCGCAAGCGUUGUCCGGAAUUACUGGGCGUAAAGGGCGCGUAGGCGGCCGAUCAAGUCAGGCGUGAAAUUCCCGGGCUCAACCUGGGGGCUGCGCUUGAUACUGAUUGGCUUGAAUGCGGGAGAGGAUAGUGGAAUUCCCAGUGUAGAGGUGAAAUUCGUAGAUAUUGGGAAGAACACCAGUGGCGAAGGCGGCUCACUGGACGACUGUUGACGCUGAGGUGCGAAAGCGUGGGGAGCAAACAGG